CCAAGGAGUGCAACAUGCGUGCGAGUCUUUGGGUGGCAAACCCAGCGGCGCAAUGAAAGUGAAGGCAGGCGUUGGUCUGCUCAGGCGAGAGUCCUCUUCUCUGGGGACGCAUCGUCGACCGAUCCCAGGUCACGCUGUGGCGGGAUUUGAGUGAGAGCGUGCCUGUUGCGACCCGAAAGAUGGUGAACUAUGCCUGAAUAGGGUGAAGCCAGAGGAAACUCUGGUGGAAGCUCGUAGCGAUUCUGACGUGCAAAUCGAUCGUCAAAUUUGGGUAUAGGGGCGAAAGACUAAUCGAACCAUCUAGUAGCUGGUUCCCUCCGAAGUUUCCCUCAGGAUAGCUGGAGCCCGGUGCAGUUUUAUCAGGUAAAGCGAAUGAUUAGAGGUCUUGGGGUUGAAACAACCUCAACCUAUUCUCAAACUUUAAAUGGGUAAGAAGCUUGGCUUGCUUAAUUGAAGCCAGGCAUUGAAUGCCGGGGCUCCUAGUGGGCCAUUUUUGGUAAGCAGAACUGGCGAUGUGGGAUGAACCAAAUGCUGGGUUAAGGUGCCCGAAUCGACGYUCAUCAGAUACCAUGAAAGGU
rnacentral:rRNA from 1 species